rnacentral:rRNA from 1 species
AUGACUACCGUUCUAGGGUCUUUGGUCUGGGAGCUCGUGAAGAAGAACAACUGGUACUUGAUUUAGCAGUUUGGCAACAGCAACGCCAAGGUCCAGUUCCGCAAGUAGCCCAACAACCUCUACAAUGUCUGCUCCUACAAGUUCUCUGACUUAGUGAACAGCAAGACCGUGGCGGUCCAUCCAUCAGCGGGAGAGGACAAGGAUGUUGUCAUGUCCAUGAGCAGGACCAAGCAGGACACCCCUGCCAAGCUACAACACAAACCUCUAAUGUGCAAGUAUUUCCGCAAGAUGGCCAAGCCUGUCAAGAACCAGGUACUAACACCACAAAAAUUCUACUUGAAAAGUUGGAAUGCACACAUUAUGCUUGGUUUCUAUGUUGCAACUCAUUUGUUUGUGCACCUGCUCUUAUAA